rnacentral:rRNA from 1 species
UACGAAGGGGGCUAGCGUUGCUCGGAAUCACUGGGCGUAAAGCGCACGUAGGCGGAUUGUUAAGUCAGGGGUGAAAUCCUGGAGCUCAACUCCAGAACUGCCUUUGAUACUGGCGACCUUGAGUCCGGGAGAGGUGAGUGGAACUGCGAGUGUAGAGGUGAAAUUCGUAGAUAUUCGCAAGAACACCAGUGGCGAAGGCGGCUCACUGGCCCGGUACUGACGCUGAGGUGCGAAAGCGUGGGGAGAAAACAGG